GAAGGGGUUAUUUGGCUGCAAGUGGAAACUCGUAGUUGGAGUUCUACCGAAGCAGGUUUACCAGCUUUAUGAGCAUGCCUGACCGUAGCUAUCGGCCCAAGCUGCUGCGUGCUUCGGUGCUUCCUUGCGCCGGAAACCGGGGGCUCAGCUACUUUGAGGAAAUCAGAGCGAUUAUUGCGGGCCUGCGCCUUGUAUAGCUUACCAUGGUAUGGCGAUUGAGGAACUUCAACUUAUUGUUGGUUAAAGGUUGAUGUGUGAGUUUAAUAGGAGCAAUUGGGGGUGAUUGUAUUAUCGUGUCAGAGGUGGAAUUCUUGGAUUACGUUACGACAUUCGACUGCGAAAGCAUUCACCAACGAUGUUUUCAUUGAUCAAGAACGAAAGUAUGGGGAUCGAAGAUGAUUAGAUCCCGUCGUAGUCUAUACCAUAAACCAAGCCUUCUAGGAGUCAGGGAAAUACCUUUUCGGUGGCUUCUCUGGCGCCUUGCGAGAAAUCAGACUCUUUGGGUUCCGGGGGGAGGAUGGAUGCAAGACUGAAUCUUAAAUGAAUUGACCGAAGAGCACCACCUGGAGUGGAGCCUGCGCCUCAAUUUGACUCAACACGGGGGAAACUCACCAGGCCCUGCCAUAAGUGGGGAUUGACACAUUGGUCGGUCGCUGAGAGUUUAUGGGGUGGUGAUGCAUGACCGUUCCUGCUGGUGGAGUGAAUUGGCGGGCUAGUUCCGGCAGGAAAAGAAGCCCAGGGAAACAAAUAGCGAGCCUCCAACAAGCCGCGGUUGAGUGUGGUAAGAACUCUGAGGAAAAAAGAAC
rnacentral:rRNA from 1 species